ACAAGUAAUGAAGGAGAACCAUGGAGACAAUGAAGAAAGCUUGGGGACGCGCCAAGGAGUGAACCGCGAAAGCAAGAAAAUGAAUCUAAGGAGCGACACUUUCACGAGAGUUUCCUAUACUUUUGAGGCCAACGUGAAAAUUUCUAUUAAAAUAAAUUAAUGACACAUGACUCUCAUCUCAUGUCAAACUUUUGUUUGUAAAAAAUCGUUACCCUUAUUAUUUUUCUCUGUAUCUUCUUCGUUUUCCAAAGCCGAUUUAUUAUUUUUCUUUGUAUGUUCGUAAUUGUUCAUCAACACCAAACUGUUACCGAAAUCACAUCCACGCUUUCUUUUCCUUUCGAGGUUCAAUUCAUCUAUGGUGGAAGUGGCGCACCUUCAAGAAUUCAUCAAGUUGAAGCCUUUUCAGUUCUGAUUCGUCUGGUUCUCUUGAUUGCUCGGUGCUGAUUUAGUAUUUUAGGGUUUCAAAAUUUGAAGCCCCACCAUUGAAGCAUUGUAUUAUGUCUAGGUUCUCGCUUGCAAUGAUGUGCUUCUGGGUGGCUUUGUAAUUUCUUAUUAUCCCUUUUAUUGUUGUUUUUGUGGUCAAAGUUCAACAAUUAUCACAGAGUUGCUAUAGUGUUCUUUCUUCUUUUUAAGAUUUAUUUUCCUCUA